rnacentral:rRNA from 1 species
AGAGCGAACGCUGGCGGCAGGCCUAAUACAUGCAAGUCGAGCGCACCUUCGGGUGAGCGGCGGACGGGUGAGUAACGCGUGGGAAUAUGCCCUUUGGUACGGAACAACUGAGGGAAACUUCAGCUAAUACCGUAUGUGCCCUUCGGGGGAAAGAUUUAUCGCCAUUGGAGUAGCCCGCGUUGGAUUAGGUAGUUGGUGAGGUAAAGGCUCACCAAGCCUACGAUCCAUAGCUGGUCUGAGAGGAUGAUCAGCCACAUUGGGACUGAGACACGGCCCAAACUCCUACGGAAGGCAGCAGUAGGGAAUCUUGCGCAAUGGGCGAAAGCCUGACGCAGCCAUGCCGCGUGAAUGAUGAAGGUCUUAGGAUUGUAAAAUUCUUUCACCGGGGAAGAUAAUGACGGUACCCGGAGAAGAAGCCCGGCUAACUUCGCGCCAGCAGCCGC